rnacentral:lncRNA from 1 species
UUCGCUAUUCAAUUGCUUCUUAAAACUCAAAACAUCAGCAAUAUCUUGAGCACUAAAUUCAGCAAUAGUAGGCACAGAAAUUUUUUGCACAGAAUGACGACCUCAAUUGUAGAAACAAAGCAUUAAAAUCACAUAAAUUGAGUCAUAAUAACCACAAAGUACAGCUGAAUAGUGCGGGAUCUGCUUUUAAAAGAAAACAACUCAACUUGAAUUUCAAUAAUGUGUUGUUGGCAUAUAAACGAAAGCAAGGCAGUUGAAUUAACUAAAGUAAUAUAUUUUGCAAAAUUUCCUCAACUGUUAAGAAAACAAUAGUAACAACAGUCAAUUAAAAAAAUGUAGAAAUCUCUCAGGUUGCCACUUUUCAAUUGAUACGACGGAGGAUGGAUUAUGAGACUGUGAGACGUUUUGGCUUCUUUUUACCUUUCACUCUGAGACUUCGAAUCAUGGGUUUAUUGUUGUCUAUGUGAUCGGGGUCGCUACAAAUAGAAGAGGGGGGAAUUUUGGGAUGGGCUAUUGGUGGGGAAGAGUUGAAUAAGUGGGAGAAAAUACAAGGGACUGCAUUGGGCGGUGAAGAGAAGAUAUUGGUAUUGGUAAGGUUGAG